rnacentral:rRNA from 1 species
AGUGAACGCUGGCGGUAGGCCUAACACAUGCAAGUCGAACGGCAGCACAGUAAGAGCUUGCUCUUACGGGUGGCGAGUGGCGGACGGGUGAGGAAUACAUCGGAAUCUACUUUUUCGGGGGGGAUAACGUAGGGAAACUUACGCUAAUACCGCAUACGACCUACGGGUGAAAGCAGGGGAUCUUCGGACCUUGCGCGAUUGAAUGAGCCGAUGUCGGAUUAGCUAGUUGGCGGGGUAAAGGCCCACCAAGGCGACGAUCCGUAGCUGGUCUGAGAGGAUGAUCAGCCACACUGGAACUGGGACACGGUCCAGACUCCUACGGGAGGCAGCAGUGGGGAAUAUUGGACAAUGGGCGCAAGCCUGAUCCAGCCAUACCGCGUGGGUGACGAAGGCCUUCGGGUUGUAAAGCCCUUUUGUUGGGAAAGAAAAGCAGCAGGUUAAUACGCCGCUGUUCUGACGGUACCCAAAGAAUAAGCACCGGCUAACUUCGUG